CUUUUGCUGGCGACCGGCGCACGGGUGAGUAACACGUAUCCAACCUGCCCUUUACUCGGGGAUAGCCUUUCGAAAGAAAGAUUAAUACCCGAUGGCAUAAUGAUUCCGCAUGGUUUCAUUAUUAAAGGAUUCCGGUAAAGGAUGGGGAUGCGUUCCAUUAGGUUGUUGGUGAGGUAACGGCCCACCAAGCCUUCGAUGGAUAGGGGUUCUGAGAGGAAGGUCCCUCACAUUGGAACUGAGACACGGUCCAA
rnacentral:rRNA from 1 species